rnacentral:rRNA from 1 species
AACGAACGCUGGCGGCAGGCUUAACACAUGCAAGUCGAACGCACCGCAAGGUGAGUGGCGGACGGGUGAGUAACACGUGGGAACGUACCCUUUGGUUCGGAAUAACUUAGGGAAACUUGAGCUAACACCGGAUAAGCCCUUCGGGGGAAAAUUUAUUGCCAAAGGAUCGGCCCGCGUCUGAUUAGCUAGUUGGUGAGGUAAUGGCUCACCAAGGCGACGAUCAGUAGCUGGUCUGAGAGGAUGAUCAGCCACACUGGGACUGAGACACGGCCCAGACUCCUACGGGAGGCAGCAGUGGGGAAUAUUGGACAAUGGGCGCAAGCCUGAUCCAGCCAUGCCGCGUGAGUGAUGAAGGCCUUAGGGUUGUAAAGCUCUUUUACCCGGGAAGAUAAUGACUGUACCGGGAGAAUAAGCCCCGGCUAACUCCGUGCCAGCAGCCGCGGUAA